rnacentral:rRNA from 1 species
GUAGCGCCUCGUGAAUUCAUCUCCGGGGGUAGAGCACUGUUUCGGCUAGGGGGCCAUCCCGGCUUACCAACCCGAUGCAAACUGCGAAUACCGGAGAAUGUUAUCACGGGAGACACACGGCGGGGGCUAACGUCCGUCGUGAAGAGGGAAACAACCCAGACCGCCAGCUAAGGUCCCAAAGUCAUGGUUAAGUGGGAAACGAUGUGGGAAGGCCCAGACAGCCAGGAUGUUGGCUUAGAAGCAGCCAUCAUU